GCCCCGCCAUAUUGUUUUCCCUUCACGUCUGGUGCAGUGUGGUGAAUCUUAAUUUCGUUUAAAACAGACACUAAUUUACCCCAUUUGAAUUAGUUUCGUUAAAAUGAGUUACGGCCGCCCACCCCCACGCAUCGACGGCAUGGUUUCACUAAAAGUAGACAAUCUAACAUAUCGCACCACCCCCGAGGACCUCAGGCGGGUCUUCGAGCGGUGUGGAGACGUCGGCGAUAUCUACAUCCCCAGGGACCGCUUCACCCGCGAGAGCCGAGGCUUCGCCUUCGUCAGGUUCUACGACAAGCGGGACGCCGAAGACGCGCUCGACGCCAUGGACGGACGGAUGCUCGACGGCAGAGAGCUGCGGGUGCAGAUGGCCAGGUACGGCCGACCGACGUCGCCACACCGCAGAUACCGCGGCAGAAGAAGAUCACGUUCUCGGUCUAGGUACUCGCGGUCACGUUCGAGGUCACGCGGAAGGAGGAGCAGGUCGCGAUCGAAGAACCGUUCCCGCAGCCGCUCACGUUCCCGCUCCGACAGCAAGAGCUCAAGGGGGAGAUCGAGGUCGGCUUCCAAGUCCGAUGGGAGGAGGUCCAAGUCGAAAUCAAAAUCCAACAGCAAGUCGCGCUCUAGGUCGAGGUCUUAGGUAGCAGAGCUGUAGCAGAGUGAUCGUGAAAGCUGUUACAGGCAUUGCUCUCUUGAAAGCAGGCGGAGUGGUGCUGUGUAGCAGUCGAAAAAAUGCUGUGUAGCUGUUGAAACGAGCGAGAUCGAGAGAAAGAGCGGUGGUGGCAGUGUACCAGUCGGUCGUGAGCAGGGGGUGGCAGUGUCUCGAAAGAACUGGACCCUAGCCAGGCCCUCGUUGCUCGGUGGGGCUGUCCAGUGUCUUCCACCGUUCACAGUCUGCCCAGGGGCUGCCGUUCUUUACUUGCGUCUAGCGACUAGGCGAUUUUUUACGCAGGGGUAGGGGUGAUUGAGAGGUGCGGUAAGUAAUGGGUUAUGGGAAAACAACAGCAGGCAGCCCCCACUUUUUGUUAGCUCUAUCACGCACUCAUUUUGCGGCUUUCAAGGUUUCGAACGGUUUCAAAGGUUGGGUAGGUAAGGGGUGAGAGCUUGGAAUACGUUGUGUAAGUGAUUUAUCUUUUUUACAGGGUUGAGUUGCAAAUAAAGGUGUAACUUGA